AGAGUUUGAUCCUGGCUCAGGACGAACGUUGGCGGCGCGCUUAAUGCAUGCAAGUCGAACGAGAAACCAUCCUUCGGGAUGGUGGAAAGUGGCGAACGGCUGAGUAACGCGUGAGGGACCUGCCCUGGAGUGGGGAAUAACCCCGAGAAAUCGGGACUAAUACCGCAUACGCUCUUCCAUUCAGAAGUGGAAGGGGAAAGAUUUAUCGCUCUUGGAGGGCCUCGUGUUCUAUCAGGUAGUUGGUGGGGUAAUGGCCUACCAAGCCUUAGACGGAUAGCUGGUGUGAGAGCACGACCAGCCAGAGGGGGACUGAGACACGGCCCCCACUCCUACGGGGGGCAGCAGCAGGGAAUCUUGCACAAUGGGCGAAAGCCUGAUGCAGCGACGCCGCGUGAGGGAUGAAGGCUCUAGGGUCGUAAACCUCUUUUCUCAGGGAAGAGCAAGGACGGUACCUGAGGAAUAAGCCACGGCUAACUACGUGCCAGCAGCCGCGGUAAUACGUAGGUGGCAAACGUUGUCCGGAAUUACUGGGCGUAAAGGGCCCGUAGGCGGACCAACAAGUCGUUUGUGAAAUCUCCCGGCUCAACCGGGAGUGGUCGAGCGAAACUGUUGGACUUGAGGAUGUCAGAGGAAGACGGAAUUCCCCGGUGUAGUGGUGAAAUGCGUAGAUAUCGGGAGGAACACCAGUGGCGAAAGCGGUCUUCUGGGGCAUUUCUGACGCUGAGGGGCGAAAGCGUGGGGAGCAAACCGGAUUAGAUACCCGGGUAGUCCACGCCCUAAACGAUGGAUGCUAGGUCUUGGGGGUAUCGACCCCCUCUGGGCCAAAGCUAACGCGUUAAGCAUCCCGCCUGGGGACUACGGCCGCAAGGCUAAAACUCAAAGGAAUUGACGGGACCCCGCACAAGCAGCGGAGCGUGUGGUUUAAUUCGAUGCUAAGCGAAGAACCUUACCAGGGCUUGACAUGCAUGUAGUACCGAUCCGAAAGGUGAGGGACCCGUAAGGGAGCUUGCACAGGUGUUGCAUGGCUGUCGUCAGCUCGUGCCGUGAGGUGUUGGGUUAAGUCCCGCAACGAGCGCAACCCUCAUGAUCAGUUGCUUUUUCUGAUCAGACUGCCCGCAAGGGAGGAAGGUGGGGACGACGUCAAGUCAUCAUGACUCUUACGUCCUGGGCUACACACACGCUACAAUGGCCGGUACAGACGGUUGCGAAGCCGCGAGGCGAAGCUAAUCUGACAAAGCCGGCCCCAGUUGGAAUUGCAGGCUGCAACUCGCCUGCAUGAACGUGGAGUUGCUAGUAACCGCAGGUCAGCACACUGCGGUGAAUACGUUCCCGGGGUUUGUACACACCGCCCGUCACGUCACGGAAGUCGGAAGCGCUUGAAGUCGCUGGGCUAACCUCUUCGGAGGGGGCAGGCGCCGAGGGUGAAGCCGAUGACUGGGACGAAGUCGUAACAAGGUAACC
rnacentral:rRNA from 1 species